rnacentral:rRNA from 1 species
ACGCGAUAAGUAUUCCGCCUGGGAAGUACGGCCGCAAGGUUAAAACUCAAAGGAAUUGACGGGGGCCCGCACAAGCGUUGGAGCAUGUGUUUUAAUUCGAUGCAACGCGAAGAACCUUACCUGGGCUUGACAUGUCUGGAAUCCUGCAGAGAUGCGGGAGUGCCCUUCGGGGAAUCAGAACACAGGUGCUGCAUGGCUGUCGUCAGCUCGCGUCGUGAGAUGUUGGGUUAAGUCCCGCAACGAGCGCAACCCUUGUCCUUAGUUGCCAGCGGUUCGGCCGGGCACUCUAGGGAGACUGCCGGUGACAAACCGGAGGAAGGUGGGGAUGACGUCAAGUCCUCAUGGCCUUUAUGUCCAGGGCUACACACGUGCUACAAUGGCGCGUACAGAGGGAAGCCAAGCCGCGAGGUGGAGUAGACCCCAGAAAGCGCGUCGUAGUUCGGAUUGCAGUCUGCAACUCGACUGCAUGAAGUCGGAAUCGCUAGUAAUCGCGGAUCAGCAUGCCGCGG